UCCACGCGCAUCGGUUGCUCAAAUCGGAA
rnacentral:sRNA from 1 species